GCUCUCAACUCACAACCCUCUCUCCUGUCUGCCUCUCAACUCUCAACUAACAGCAUACCGCUCUCAGCCCACAUCACACAAAUCUCAGCACCCUAUCCUCCCUUUUAUAAACCAAGGGAAUGAGGUAGUAGACUUCCAGUAGGAUACCUAAUAGUUUAUCCUAUUCUACCUAAUCAUCUCAAGAAUUCUAGUUAACUGUAAGUUUUCACUCUCACAUGGACACUCCAUGUGGUCAACGGCUUUGGGCUUGGCUAACUAGCUUUGGACUCAUCAAGUGAGUUAGACCAACAAUCUUCAGCCACGGGAGGGUAUCGAUGUCUUCAAUUGUUCAUCCUCACCCAUAAGUCUGUAAGACAGCUCCGCGAAUAUCUUGUCUCAUCAACGGUUUUCUCCACUUCCCAUUAAAGUGUAUGCACCUCCCCACCAAAGUGCUGCACCUUUUCAUUGAGGUUACCCUGCAUCCCCGCAAGGAGUGCGCCGCAAAGUUACAUCACUUUGGUGAGUUGUCGUGCUUCUAUCUCUCCACCCUGUGUGCACUAACUAAGAGAUCACCACCAUUAAUCAAUCGAUGAGCGAAGAGACUCGUUGCGACAACGGCGCGCCAGUCGUUGUACAACUUUUCAAAAUUGACUUUGUCUCGCUUCUCUGAACUUCUCUCUGGACAUUCUGCACGGUUGCACCACUCGUGUCUGGCCAGCUUUCACACAUAUCUCAAAUCAUCUCCCGCACCCUUGUCACCACUCUGGAUCCUCCAGGUACCCUUUGCGCUUUGCUUUGGCAUCCUUUGUGCACGUUUCUUCCCUUGUCCCGUUUUCUUGCUAUACACUGGACCCAUGUCAAACAGUAGCGCUCCCCCCCCCUGUCUGGACACUCCCUUCUAAUCGAUAUAGUCCCUCACGUAUUCCUAUCGCCCACAACACUCCUUGUUUCUCUUGAAAACUCUCAGAAUUCCUCACUAGUUUUUCAAAGUUGCAUCCCUUUGAAUCUAGUAUCCCAAUAAAAAUCAAAUUUUUCUGUAGACUAGGAACAUGUCUUACAUCGGUUAACGUCAGAGACCUCCUAUCUACCAUGCGGAACCGGACUAUUCUUUUGCCAACAACUCUGUUCGCCAUGUUGUUCGCCAUCCGUAUAAGUCCCUCACAUGCUGCAUAUAUAAAGAAUACCUCUCUAUCUCUACACAAGUGGUAAGCACUGCCUGAAUUCAAUACGUAAUAUGACUUUUCAUCUGCCGAUGCUUCUAGGAACCACUCUAAUCCUAAUAUGUGCCACUAUGGCUACCUCGAAAAACUGAUCAUUCUAUGCUUUAUACCAGGGGUAGUCUCUCUGAUAUGCCCCUCCUAGUCGCAGAAAAACACGUAAAAGUUGCAACUUCUAGACUAUACCUCCGUCAUCCCUCUCAGUACCGACUUCUUCCUUGACCUGGACCCUCUUCCCUGCUUCGUUCUGAGCUGGGCUCACGAAUCAUCACUAUCUCGCCGUACUCAUCGCUCUCCUCCAAGCCUCUUCAUUGAAUAGGGGUAUCCAUUACCAUACUCGUAGUCAACUCCCAUUCGACGUUGAAUUGCUAAGAGAAAUUAUCAAUCUCUUCCAACUUUUGGCAAGGAACUCAAAACCAGUAGGGCCUGCGUCUCAUCCUCAAAUUGUAGGUCAACACUGGUCAAUUGAUUGACCAACUUCUGGAACUCACUCGUAUAUUCCACCAUUGUAGUAAGCUUCAAAUUUACAAGCCUCCUCAUCAAUAAGGAUUUAUUUUGAGAUGUCUUCGCCUGGUACAUCUCCUCCAAUUUGAUCCACAACUCAUAAGCACUCGCCUCCUGUGUUAUAUGAUGGAACACCUAGUGUCUAAUGCAUUGUCUGAUUAGUCUAAUUGUCUUCAUGUUCAUCUUCUUUCAUUCCUCACUCUUCAUCGUUGCAGGUUUUGUCCUCUUUUAUUCUUCAAAAUGUCAUACAAAUCCUUAUAGAAUAAGAUGUCCUCCAUCCUUGGUUUUCACAUGGCGUAAUUCGUCACUGAGGCAAAUGAUCAUGAUCCAAACUAUUUUUUGCCAUCUUACUUCUCUCAAAUAGAAGCAAAAUAUCAAAAAACCAACCUUGCGGAUGAAUCCGGAAUGCCGAGAAACCUCAGAAAGGGCUAAAUUGUCAAAAUCAAAAAAUUAUGGUACCAAAUUGACAAAAUCAGAAAGUUUUGGGACCAAAUUAUAAAUAUCCAAAAUUUUAAGGACUAAAAUAUAAUUUGUAGCAACUCUAGAGACCAAUCUGUAAUUAACAAAAACUCUAUGGACUGAACUGUAAUUAUCAGGAACUCUAUGGAUUGAAAUUGUAAUUUACGAGGGAAUAUUCCUUUGAUGAUGUGGCACUGACGUGGCUAACGUGGCGCUGACUGGACGACUACGUGACACAGGAGCACGCGUGGCGCUCGUGUGGCAAGUGCUUGCAUGACUAGCGCGUGAAGGCACGUGGGUCUUCCCCCGGGCUCGUGGUAGCACGUGGGACCACCUCCUGG
rnacentral:lncRNA from 1 species